rnacentral:misc_RNA from 1 species
UUUCCGUAGGUGAACCUGCGGAAGGGUCAUUAUUGGAUUUUGAAACUUCAGGCUGCUGCUGGCUCUCCUCGGAGGGCAUGUGCACGCUUGUUGUCCAUUAUUUCUCCCACUGUGCACAAAUUGUAGACCUUUCAGUAGGCCUAUGUUGUUUUUCACAAUCUCUGAAUGUAAUAGAAUGGUUUUGAAUCUUGGGAAAUACAAUACAACUUUCAGCAACGGAUCUCUUGGCUCUC